AUUGAACGCUGGCGGCAGGCUUAACACAUGCAAGUCGAACGAUGAAACCUAGCUUGCUAGGUGGAUUAGUGGCGGACGGGUGAGUACAACUUAGGAAUCUACCUUUUAGCGGGGGAUAGCUCGGGGAAACUCGAAUUAAUACCGCAUACACCUUACGAGGGAAAGGGGGCUUUUAGCUCUUACUAAAAGAUGAGCCUAAGCAAGAUUAGCUAGUUGGUGGGGUAAAAGCCUACCAAGGCGACGAUCUUUAGCUGGUCUGAGAGGAUGAUCAGCCACACUGGGACUGAGACACGGCCCAGACUCCUACGGGAGGCAGCAGUGGGGAAUAUUGGACAAUGGGGGCAACCCUGAUCCAGCCAUGCCGCGUGUGUGAAGAAGGCCUUUUGGUUGUAAAGCACUUUAAGCAGUGAGGAAAAGCUAUAUGUUAAUACCAUAUAGCCCUGACGUUAACUGCAGAAUAAGCACCGGCUAACUCUGUGCCAGCAGCCGCGGUAAUACAGAGGGUGCAAGCGUUAAUCGGAAUUACUGGGCGUAAAGAGAACGUAGGUGGUCAAUUAAGUCAGAUGUGAAAUCCCUGAGCUCAACUUAGGAACUGCAUCUGAUACUGAUUGACUAGAGUAGGUGAGAGGAGAGUAGAAUUCCAGGUGUAGCGGUGAAAUGCGUAGAUAUCUGGAGGAAUACCGAUGGCGAAGGCAGCUCUCUGGCAUCAUACUGACACUGAGGUUCGAAAGCGUGGGUAGCAAACGGG
rnacentral:rRNA from 1 species